rnacentral:lncRNA from 1 species
CUCGGGAGGAGGGAGGUGGUGCCACGAUGAGCACAUCAAGUGUUUUCUCUAAGUUACUCUUCUUCAAGCAAGGCUGAAAAAUGAACUCUAGAUACAAAGUGUGACACCAAAGGGUCUCUGGACUGGCAGUGCCCGACCCACCGGGAGCCCCUGCAGCCAAGCUUCCACCUCCUCA